GGAUGUGAGGGCGAUCUGGCUGCGACAUCUGUCACCCCGCUGAUCGCCAGGGCUGAUCUGGCUGGUGAGACAGGCGUCCCUUCCUUUCCCACAGCUCUACGUGUGCCUCUCCUGAAGCUGCUCAGCUCCCUGCUAGAACCUCCACACCGGCUCUCGAGUGCUGGCAGAAAUAAUGGUGGUAGGUGUGUACCACCACCCUGCCCUCCGCCUGAGGUCUUAGUCACAAUGUCAUGUGU
rnacentral:snRNA from 1 species